GAUGAACGCUGGCGGCGUGCCUAAUACAUGCAAGUCGAGCGAACGGACGAGAAGCUUGCUUCUCUGAUGUUAGCGGCGGACGGGUGAGUAACACGUGGAUAACCUACCUAUAAGACUGGGAUAACUUCGGGAAACCGUAGCUAAUACCGGAUAAUAUUUUGAACCGCAUGGUUCAAAAGUGAAAGACGGGCUUGCUGUCACUUAUAGAUGUAUCCGCGCUGCAUUAGCUAGUUGGUAAGGUAACGGCUUACCAAGGCAACGAUGCAUAGCUGACCUGAGAGGGUGAUCGGCCACACUGGCACUGAGACACGGUCCAGACUCCUACGGGAGGCAGCGGUAGGGAAUCUUCCGCAAUGGGCGAAAGCCUGACGGAGCAACGCCGCGUGAGUGAUGAAGGUCUUCGGAUCGUAAAACUCUGUUAUUAGGGAAGAACAUAUGUGUAAGUAACUGUGCACAUCUUGACGGUACCUAAUCAGAAAGCCACGGCUAACUACGUG
rnacentral:rRNA from 1 species